UGAGUACGAGAUGCUACGGCGUCGAAGCAGUCUAUGUCAUACUUCCAAGAAAAGCUUGCACUGUCAUAAACAAAGAAUGCCUGUACCAUAACCGACACAGGUGGGUAGGUAGAGUAUACUAAGGGGCGCGAGAUAACUCUCUCUAAGGAACUCGGCAAAAUGACUCCGUAACUUCGGGAGAAGGAGUGCCUUAUUUUUAAGGUUGCAAUAACAAGAUCCAAGCAACUGUUUACCAAAAACACAGGUCUCCGCUAAGUCGUAAGACGAUGUAUGGGGGCUGACGCCUGCCCAGUGCCAGAAGGUUAAAGAAGUUGGUUAGCAUUCGCGAAGCUGAUAACUGAAGCCCUGGUGAACGGCGGCCGUAACGAUAACGGUCCUAAGGUAGCGAAAUUCCUUGUCGGGUAAGUUCCGACCCGCACGAAAGGCGUAAUGAUUUGGAUACUGUCUCGGAGAGGGGCUCGGUGAAAUAGACUUGUCUGUGAAGAUGCGGACUACCUGCACCUGGACAGAAAGACCCUAUGAAGCUUUACUGUAACUUGAGAUUGAAAUUGGACUUUAUUUGCGCAGUAUAGGUGGGAGGCGUUGAGAAUAAUCUUGCGGGAUUAUGGGAGCCAUCAGUGAGAUACCACUCUUGUAAUGUUAGAUUUCUAACUUUGUAUCAUUAUCUGGUCAAAGAACAGUUUCAGGCGGGCAGUUUGACUGGGGCGGUCGCCUCCCAAAGGGUAACGGAGGCGCACAAAGGUUUCCUCUGAACGGGUAGAAAUCGUAUCUAGAGUGUAAAGGCAUAAGGAAGCUUGACUGUGAGACCUACAAGUCGAGCAGGGACGAAAGUCGGUCUUAGUGAUCUGACGGUGCUGAGUGGAAAGGCCGUCACUCAACGGAUAAAAGUUACUCUAGGAUAACAGGCUGAUCUCCCCCAAGAGUUCACAUCGACGGGGAGGUUUGGCACCUCGAUGUCGGCUCAUCGCAUCCUGGGGCGGUAGUACGUCCCAAGGGUUGGGCUGUUCGCCCAUGAAAGCGGUACGCGAGCUGGGUUCAGAACGUCGUGAGACAGUUCGGUCCAUAUCCGGUGUAGGCGUUAGAAUAUUGAAAGGAGCCUUCUCUAGUACGAGAGGACCGAGAAGGACAUACCUCUGGUGUACCAGUUAUCGUGCCAACGGUAAACGCUGGGUAGCUAUGUAUGGAGUGGAUAACCGCUGAAAGCAUCUAAGUGGGAAGCCCACCUUAAGAUAAGUAUUCUCAU
rnacentral:rRNA from 1 species